UGAACAGCAACUGGGAAAAUAAGUUGG
rnacentral:piRNA from 1 species